AGAGUUUGAUCCUGGCUCAGGAUGAACGCUGGCGGCGUGCCUAAUACAUGCAAGUCGAACGCUUCACUUCGGUGAAGAGUGGCGAACGGGUGAGUAAUACAUAAGUAACCUGGCAUCUACAGGGGGAUAACUGAUGGAAACGUCAGCUAAGACCGCAUAGGUGUAGAGAUCGCAUGAACUCUAUAUGAAAAGUGCUACGGGACUGGUAGAUGAUGGACUUAUGGCGCAUUAGCUUGUUGGUAGGGUAACGGCCUACCAAGGCGACGAUGCGUAGCCGACCUGAGAGGGUGACCGGCCACACUGGGACUGAGACACGGCCCAGACUCCUACGGGAGGCAGCAGUAGGGAAUUUUCGGCAAUGGGGGCAACCCUGACCGAGCAACGCCGCGUGAGUGAUGAAGGUCUUCGGAUUGUAAAGCUCUGUUGUAAGGGAAGAACGGCAUCUAGAGAAUAGGUGAGUGACGGUACCUUACCAGAAAGCUACGGCUAACUACGUGCCAGCAGCCGCGGUAAUACGUAGGUAGCGAGCGUUAUCCGGAAUUAUUGGGCGUAAAGGGUGCGUAGGCGGCCUGUUAAGUUUAUGGUGAAAGCGUGGGGCUCAACCCCAUAAAGCCAUAGAUACUGGCAGGCUAGAGUACUGGAGAGGGUAGUGGAAUUCCAUGUGUAGCGGUAAAAUGCGUAGAUAUAUGGAGGAACACCGGUGGCGAAGGCGGCUACCUAGACAGAGACUGACGCUGAGGCACGAAAGCGUGGGGAGCAAAUAGGAUUAGAUACCCUAGUAGUCCACGCCGUAA
rnacentral:rRNA from 1 species